CGCAGCAUAUUUCUUUUUUCGGUCAAUUGUGAGAUACCACUGUAAAACUAUGCUCUGAGUAGUGAGCUAUAGUGUUUGCCACUAUGCAGAAAAUUUUCGAAGACAGAUCCGAAGGGAACGCCAAAUCCAAUACCCAUCUCCGCCCAAAAAUAUCCUACCCAUUAAAUUUACUUCUUCCUCUCUUUCUACACUUUCCCAUUUUCCACACUAUUCACUAUUAUAUACCAAUUUCUACUUUUUCGACUCAAAUUUACUCCGAUUUUUGUCGAAACCCUUUUCGUUAUUUUAGCUGUUUACUUCGAAUAAGAGGAAAUUAAGUUUCAUUGAGUGACCCCAUAAUCGCGAUUGUGCUUCAAUUUAGCGUGUAAUUGAGGGUUUUGUAGAUUCUACUUCUUGAUCCUAUUUUCAUUGAUCAAAAUCACUUUUUUCCUCUGUUUUUUUGUUCUGGGGUUUUAUUUUUUAGGUAUGGGCAUUAGUAUAAUCUGAAUUUUUGAGUAAUUCAACACACUUUUGGAUCUCAAUGUUUGUUAAAUCUCUUUGGAUCUGAGAUUGUGCUGGAAAUCAAGAUGAAUCGUUGUUGAGACACUUGGAACAGGCAAAAGAUUUUAUUUUUUUGCAAUUGAUGUGUGUAGUAGAGGGCUUUUUUGUAAUUUAGCAAGGAUUAGGAAUUUGGGUUUGUGAUGAUGGAUCAUGUUAUUGGUGGAAAAUUCAAGCUUGGGAGGAAGAUUUGGGGGGUGGGGGUCAUUUGGAAAAUUCAAACUUGGGUGUUAAUGUACAAACUGGAGAGGAAGUGGCUGUCAACCUGGUGAGUGUAGUUAUUGAUUUCUAUUGGGUGCUAUGUUAAUUGAUAAUCUCGUUCCCUUAAAUGACAUGUUAUGACAUGUUUUUAGAAGUGGUCAUCCUGAAAAAACGAUUAUAUCAUAACCA